rnacentral:lncRNA from 1 species
CCUGAGACAGCCGCACAAAGAGGAGGCCCCUGGCCGCUCCCGCCUUCCAUUGAUCCUGGCCCUUUGUGGCUCUGACGACGACGGGGGCGCGAGAGGCGCCGCGCAGGGACUUGGCCCAUUCUCAUUAGGGGACCCCUGUCCCGCCAGCCCUCACCACGGGUCCUCCUCCACAGAUGAGGAAAUGGCAAUGGCACCCACCAAGCAGCUGUGGUUUGGGAGCUGGGAUAUCGCUAUGUGGAAGCCCGUGGCACUUUGCUCUGGAUGCUGAACAGAGGAGGAAGAAGGGAAGAGAGCCUGGGCAGCUGGCUGGGAAAAGGCAGAGGGUGCUUUCCUGUCGCUGCCUGCUCUUGCUAAGCAUUGGGAGAAGAGGGAGAAUGUGGAAGGAGAGUGCACACCUGGGAGCUGCAUCCACUGGCUGACCAGAAAACAUUUAAUUUCCACCCUGGGCGUAGUCCAUGGCCAGCUUCCUUGUGGUGCGCUGUUUCUGUCUGCCUUUUGUCUGUGGCUGGUGGUGUCAGAGCCCGUAACUAUCUGUUUACAGUUUCAGACAGAAGCAUUAAUUGCCUUUUGAACCUCCCCUUUUCCCCUAAGACUCCCUGCUCAACUAUAUUAACUGUCUCGCUUGGUUUCUUUCUGCACAAAGAGAAAUGCCUGUCUCCCCUAAAACCUGACCACCUGCAAAUCCCCACCGUACUCUCUUAUGCAUAGGUGAUGCGAGAACAAACGUGUAGCCAGCACAUGUCUGCAUAGAGACAGGGUAUACAGGACAAGUUGUCACAGUCCAGAAGGUUCCAGCCAGCUGUGGGGUGGUAGGAAGAAUAUCGGAAUUGGAGUCAGACAGUAUUUGAAAUCUGCUUUGGUUGUUGACUUGCUGUGUGACCUGGGGCAAGUUACUUCAUCUUGCUGCGCCUCGGUUUUCUCAUCUAUGAAGUGGACACGACAGUACCUGCUUCACAAGGCUGGAUAAUGUCGCUCCUUGAUGAAAGCACUUUGUUCUGGAAAAGCACGUUUCUCUGCUCUUUGCUUGCCUGGUAUGGGUUUAAAGGUGGUAGAAAGAGGAAACUAAAUGAUAGGUAAUAGAAGUAGGGAGAUCUUUCCCAAUGGGGAAAAGGAAUAAGAAAUGGAGGGGGGAGGGAGGAGAGGGAGAGAGGAAGGAAAAUAAAAAGAAUGCAGAAAAAAAUGGAAAUAGAGCUUUUGUAAAUGGAAAGGGGGCCGAGAGAGUUGGAAGGGGCAGGGAGGGACUGGAUGGGUAGGGAGUAAAAAAAGAGUUAAGGGAGGGCCGGGGAUUUAGUUCAGUGGUUUCACACCUGCUGCACAAGCGCAAGGACCCGAGUUCCAUCCCUGGUACCAAAAAAAAAAAAAGUUGAGAUGUGUUAUGUACAUGUACCAACUCCCCACGAUGAAUGUAAUCACAUAUGUACUGUAUCACAUACUACUAAAAAAAAGUGAUAGAAGCCUUGCCUAGCAUGCAUAAGGCCUGAGUUCAACCCUCUGAACUGUAAGAAAUAAAAGCAUAUAUUGAGUAUUUAUGUUCUUCACUGUGUUUCAAGUGGUAUUUGGUCUUUAACAAACCCUUCAAAGUCACUGCUGUUAUAAUACUGCACUUUACAGGGGAAAAAGUAGAACAGAGAAAGUCAGUAAGUUGCUGAAAUCACACAGCCAGGAGACAAAGCUGGGAUUUGAGACUAUUUUAUUCUUUUUUUUUUUUUUUUUUUUUUUUGGUAUCGGGGAUUGAACUCGGGUCCUUGCGCUUGCGAGGCAGGCAGUGGAACCACUGAGCUAAAUCCCUGGUCCCUUAUUUUAUUCUUUUUUGGGGUACCACGGAUCAAACUCAGGACCUUGAGUUUGGGAGGCAGGUGCAGUGCCACUGAGCUAAAUCCCCAGCUGGGAUUUGA